rnacentral:lncRNA from 1 species
UUACUUUGAGAAGUCCGUGCAACAUCUAGUUUCUCCCUCUUCUUUCUCUGUCUCUCUGUCUCCUUCUCCCUCUCCCUCCCUCUCUCCCCCCCCCUUUCCUCCCACCUCCCUCCCUCUUUCUUCCACCCUCCUUCUCCCCCUCCCUUCGCAGAGCCUCAGGAAAAGAAGAAUGUCGGCUUCGACUGCCAUCUUUUGGGGAUUUGGAAAAACGACUCGGUAGUGCCUUCCUCAGUCUCUUGGGGCAUACUUCUUUCCGGAUCUGGCACAAACUACCCCGCAGGGCUUAAAGACAUGCUGAUGACAGAUGAUGAAGGUGGCUAAUCAUUUAGAAAACAUGUCAAAGAAGAAUAUAUGUUAAGAAAGAGAGACGGAUGGAUAAGACCAGAAGCAUCACUGAAGUCAUCGUGAGUCUCUAAUUCUUGAUCUGGUUUGCUGCUCAACCGAAAUGAAAUUUAGUUCACGAGUCAUUUUCUUUGUUGGUUUUGUGUAGAAAACGCUUAGAAUUACCCUGAUAUCAUGAACAUUUAGGUCUGGUACUGAGAGGCACGCAAGUAUGACAGGACUAAAUUAUCAAAAUGUAUGCGCCGGGGGAAACCAAAAUAGGUUUUUGCGGUUUUCAUUAGCACAGGUCAUAUUAAUUUAAUUAACAUGAUUGAAGAUAAUAUCACUGGGUGAGGCAGCAGAUACCUAGCCUUGACCUAUUAGUCACCCGUAGGCUAUAAAGUGAUGCAUCUGACAAACGGGUGUGCGAGCUCAUACAUUUAGUAUUUGGAAUCGGGCUUUUGUUAGGGGUUUCCCUACAGCUUUAGGGUAUGUUUGGAGCUUCCAUCAGAGGAAAUUCUUGGUGCUUUUCAAAACUCACCACCACAAACAGAAUUUUCAAUAUGGAGUGAAUGUUUGUGUCAUAGUUAUAAUUUGUGCAAUUGGGACCUUCAUCUAUUGUUUCCCCUGCUGUGAUCCCUGUCCUUUUAUCCAGCUCUUCUUUAGGCUGGAAUCUUCUAAACUGCCUGUGGUUCUAGUCAGGACUCCAAAUCCUGAUCGCCUUGUUCUGGCCACAGGUGUGGGCAUAGGGCCCAUGAGGGCUAAUUAAUUGCCCUUUUCAGAAUUUGUUCAGCUGGAAAUAAGAGGAUGGUCCUGUGGCAAACGAGUUGUCUACCCAAUAUCUAUUCCCCCUUUUCCUUAUGAACAAAGUCCCAUCUUUUUUUUUUGAAUGAGAUUAUUCCCAGUUGAAAAUACCCAUCUCCUCACACUGUCCUGGAACCACAGAUGUUCUUGGCCAAUGGGAUAUAAAUGAAAGUCGACUGUGUGGGGAAAAUUUCUGAAAAAUUAUUGUCCUGGUGAAACGGGUCAUACUCAGCUGACAAGUGACUUUUGCCCUUACUCCUUUUCCUUCUGGUCAAAACACAAUGAAGUCAUAAGCCUGCUAAGAACAAUGGAGUAGGACUUGGGAGGACAUUGAAUCAUUGAGAACAUCUCAAGUAGCUGGCUGCACCAGCCUUGGUCUGCUCACCUUAUAAUUCUUGCUAUGUCAGGAAAAGAAAACCUCUUUUUAGUUAUGCUACUAUGUGUGAGUUGCUGCUACAUAUUUUAUUUUACUGAUUUAUUUUAUUUUACUUUAUUUUAUGUCAUACCUUGGAUAUGGUCUUUUCCCUACAUUAUUGCCACUUAUGGAGAUGGUCAAUCUGAGAAAAUGAAAUCAAUUCACACAUAUACACACACAAGAGUCAAGAGACCAAUAGGUCUAGAUCCUCAUGUUUCUUGUGUCCAGAAUUUCUCUGCAGCUGGGGCCUGUAUCAUAUGAGCCAGUGGAAUCUCGUGCUGCUGAAGUUUCUUAAAGUUUGGUUCCUGUCCCUUGCAAAUAAGAGAACUCCUGGAGAUAUGAAAAUAAAAACAAACAUACUCUCCAUGCAGCAAAUAUCCCAAACCUGUGAUAGCCUCCCUGAGCUCCUUAUUUGCUGGGAUAGGAAGGAAGAAUUUGGGUUCUUGACUUGAUGCUAUUUGUUUAGGGGCUUUGGAAUGUCACCUAAGGUUUUUCAAUCUCAGUUCCCUCAUCUUCAAUAAGGGAAAUGAACUAGAUGACCCCUAAGAUCCUUUCAGUUCCAAAUGACUAUAAUUCCAUGCGAAUUUUCCACAGUAUGGGCCAGAAGCUAAGUAUAGAAUAUACAAAUCAAUUAAAAAGAAAUAUACAUAGGAGUUCCUGCUGUGGCACAAUGGGAUCCGUGGCAUCUCCAGAGUGCUGUGGCACAGGUUGCAUCCCUGGUGGGCACAGUAGGUUAAGAAUCAGGUGUUGUCACAGCUGCAGUGUAGGUUGCAACUGCAGCUUGGAUCUGAUCCCUGGCCUAGGAACUCCAUAUGCUAUGGGCAGCCAAAAAAAAAAAAA